rnacentral:rRNA from 1 species
AUUGAACGCUGGCGGCAUGCUUUACACAUGCAAGUCGAACGGUAGAGGGGGCAACCCCUUGAGAGUGGCGAACGGGUGAGUAAUGCAUCGGAACGUGCCCAGUCGUGGGGGAUAACUACUCGAAAGAGUGGCUAAUACCGCAUACGACCUGAGGGUGAAAGCGGGGGACCGAAAGGCCUCGCGCGAUUGGAGCGGCCGAUGUCAGAUUAGGUAGUUGGUGGGGUAAAGGCCUACCAAGCCUGCGAUCUGUAGCUGGGUCUGAGAGGACGACCAGCCACACUGGGACUGAGACACGGCCCAGACUCCUACGGGAGGCAGCAGUGGGGAAUAUUGGACAAUGGGCGAAAGCCUGAUCCAGCAAUGCCGCGUGAGUGAAGAAGGCCUUCGGGUUGUAAAGCUCUUUUACCCGGGAAGAUAAUGACUGUACCGGGAGAAUAAGCCCCGGCUAACUCCGUGCCAGCAGCCGCGGUAAGGAGUAGUACA